ACGAACGUUGGCGGCGUGGAUUAGGCAUGCAAGUCGAACGAAGACGGGGUAGCAAUAUCCCGGACUGAGUGGCGAAAGGGGCAGUAAAGCGUGGGUAACCUACCUCUGGGACGGGGAUAGCCUUCCUAACGGGAGGGUAAUACUCGGCGACGUAACGAGGGGGCAUCUCCUUGUUACCAAAUGAAUUUCGCCCGGAGAGGGGCUCACGUGCUAUUAGCUUGUUGGCGGGGUAACGGCCCACCAAGGCUGAGAUGGCUAGCAGGUGUGAGAGCACGACCUGCGCCACUGGCACUGAGACACUGGCCAGACUCCUACGGGAGGCUGCAGUCGAGGAUCUUUGGCAAUGGGCGCAAGCCUGACCAAGCGACGCCGCGUGCGCGAUGAAGGCCUUCGGGUUGUAAAGCGCUGUCGAGGGGGAGGAAGCCGCAAGGUUGACCUAUCCCUGGAGGAAGGACGGGCUAAGUUCGU
rnacentral:rRNA from 1 species